UUUUUUUUUUUUUUUUUUUUGUAUUAACAAUCAUUAUGAAUGCCUUUAUGCUUUUAUUAAUUAUUACCUUGACUCUACCUUCCUUGCUAGGAAUUGCUACUAGGUUUCGCAAGUAUUUUUCUACACGCUCCUCACCAGCCCAAGCAUGCAACAGCACAAAUUAGUCAAGUGUCCUUUCCAAACGGAAGCCUAUUGAAAUUAAUGAAAGAUAUGAAGGCUUUCUUUCCGGUUGAAGCCAAUGUAUUUUCUUUCUUGAAAUAAAUUUCCACCAUUCCUUGAUAAAAAUUCAAAAGCUGUUGGACUAAAAGAUGAACCAAACUAUUCGAUACUCAAAUCGAACUCGACUUGGUAAAAAUUCGUUCCAAUUUAGUUCGCUAACUAAUCAAACUAAACUUGAACAACAAUUUAUAUUCAAUAACAUUCAAGCUCGAUAAAAUAAUUUGUUCAAAUUUGGUUCGACAAAUAAACAAGUCAAGUUUGAACGAAAUUUCAAGUUUGCUAAAAUAAUCAAACAAGUUUGAACACUAGGAUGUUCAUGUAAUCAUGCAUACUAUGCCAACCAAUAUACAGUUUUUUUUUUUUUUUUGGCUCAACACACACUUUUUUUUAUUAAAUAUGUCACUAGUGAGAAUUUACAUCAAUGGUACAUUAUUUAUAUGCAUACACGUACAUAUACGUGCAUGCAUAAAAAUACAUGGGAUUCAACUUUAUGCGUAUAUACACAUGGCUAAAGGUUCAAGAUUGCCGUGAUUUCAUUCUAUUUUCAUAUAUAUAUAUAUAUAUAUAUAUAUAUAUAUAUAUUUAUAUCUAUAUAUAUGUGUGUGUAUAUGCAUAUGUAUGUGUGUCUAUGCAUAUAUAUGUGUGUGUGUGAAAACCAUGUAGUAGAAAACGCACCGAGUAAAAGAUUCAACUGUUAAUGUGAAGGUAGCUGAUGUACUUUAAGAGCUUCAAUGUCGAUUAUGUGUUCUCAAUCCCAGCACAUGAGCAUGCAUCCUAGAUGACCUUCCCUGUUCCGUCACUACACCCAACCUAUACUCUCAUAAACACGCAUAGACAGGCAUCUUCAAAGUGAAUGACCAUCAUAAUUGCGUCCAAGCGCGCAGUCAAGCGAAUUCAAAUGACAGAUCUCAACCAUUUUGGAUAUAUAUAUAUAUAUAUAUAUAUAUAUAUAGACAGAGAGAGAGAGAGAGAGAGAGGAUCCAAGCUUUACAUGCUUUAGAGGUAACAAAGCAAAAAUCACCACUCAAACCUGUAGGAAACUGUUUCAGUAUGAAGUUUAUUUGGUAUGUACAAUGGACUGGUACAGCAAAUAUGCUAAUCAAUCACAUUUCCCUGGAUCUUCCAAGAGAGAAGGCUAUUAACAUGUGUAAAAUAGUGGCAAUUAAGAGGAAAACUUCCCUUCUUCAUUUCCACAUUUUUCAUAAGCUGCAAAGAGCAGUCAUAAGCAUAUAAAGA
rnacentral:lncRNA from 1 species